rnacentral:lncRNA from 1 species
UACCAUUUUUACAAAUUACAAACUUAAAAAUAUCUCUUUUCUAAACAAUCUGUUUUCUUUUUUAAUUCUCUGAGGGGGUGUAUGUUUUUUUUUUUUUUGUCGGCAACACAUAUCAUUAAAACAAUAAAACCCAGUGGGCAACAAAACAAGGUACACAAUUUUUUAAGCGCAAUUACAAACUCAAAACAUGUCUAGAAACACGCGUGACUAUAUCAAGUAAUAAGAAAUUCACGUGUCUGUCGUUGAGUUUGCCUUCAAUUCUUGCUGUUUCCAGCACCGUUCUCACCUCCGGCAUCUCCCGCUUUGUCUCCAACGAUUCCUAACUUUUACAGCAAAUUGAUUUGUACCUUGAGUCUUUCUUUUUGACGAUCUUCAAUUUCUGGAUAGAUUUUAGAAUUUAAAACGCGCAAAACAGAGUAAAUCACUUCUAAAAUUUAUUGAGAUUUCGAUUUUCAGAGAAGCUCAGCUGCCGUGAGAUCCAAUUUAUUGAUCUGAAAUUUUAACCAUUAUUGUUCUAGGCAAGAGGAAAAAUCAAGCGAAGAUAUUACUCCAAGUAAGAGAUGAAAUCUACAAUAAAUUUCAAAAGAAAAACCGAUAAUUCCAAUAAAAGAAGUAAAACAGCCGGCGAAGAGAUUGCAAAAGGUGGAGAUCCAGAUUUAGUCGGAAGAGAAAAUCCAAAACUAAAUUGAAAAUUUAUUAUCCGAUAAAAAUGGAAAAGAAAACCGAUUAAUUGAUCGGAAUUUACAAAAAAAAAUUAGAGAGAAAAAGUGUGCUCUUUCUCUUUCUCAAAGAUAGAGAUGAGAGAAGAGAUUGAGGAAAAAAAACUCUUCCGGGUUUAUGUAUUAUACCAACUCUGAGUUUUUUUAAUUUUGUUUUUUU